rnacentral:tRNA from 1 species
GCCCGGUUAGCUCAGUCGGUAGAGCGCAAGGCUCUUAACCUUGUGGUCGUGGGUUCGAGCCCCACAUUGGCGCU